rnacentral:lncRNA from 1 species
CAGUGGUGUGAGUGAUCCUUUAACCUAUAAUGUCAUUGGCUAUUCGCAGCGAGGCUACUGAGUUUGACUGCAUAUUCUUUUGAUCCCUAGCCAUUUGGGUCCUUACAGUGUAUAUUGGCUUCAGUAAGUACAGGUUCGCUAUUUGAAGUAAGAUGCACCUAGAAGGAAUCUAUCGACCUUGGUAGAAAAGGAGAAGUCCUACGUGAUUCACGAGAUUGAGUUCAGAAAGUCUUUAGCUAAAGCAAAUGUGAAUACUAAAAAUAAUUUUCACGUGAUUCACAUAUGAAAUCGAGUUGAGCCAAUCUUGUAUAUGAUUGACA